rnacentral:rRNA from 15 species
UAUCUCGGCUCUUGCAUCGAUGAAGAACGUAGCGAAAUGCGAUACUUGGUGUGAAUUGCAGAAUCCCGUGAACCAUCGAGUCUUUGAACGCAAGUUGCGCCUGAAGCCAUUAGGUUGAAGGCACGUCUGCCUGGGCGUCACGCAUUGCGUCACCCACUCCCCCGUGCCUAAGCGGGCAUG